rnacentral:lncRNA from 1 species
CAUAGAUUUUUUUUCCAGGGCUGUUUUGGAAUCCCCAGUCCGGCCCUGCAAUCCAAUGAACCUGAAAGCAAUUAAAUAACACAUAGUAGCCAUUUGGUGGAUGUAAUUAAGUCCAAAAAAGCAGAAAUAAAUUGGAGUUUUGACUUCAAACCAGACAAAUACAAUUCACGGUGCAGUGAAUAACCCUCCUUGCACAUGGUUCUGGAGACUGACAUUUGAUUUGAUACACACUGCCACUGGCAACAUUAAGUUCUGUAUUGUAUUGCAGUUGCUAAUGCCAUGCAUUUAUUUAGCAAUUUAAUUUUUUCUAAAUCGUUAUAGAGAAACAUACCAUUAUCAUUGGAAUUCAGACAAAUCAAAUGAACGUAUGAAUGAAAUUCUGUUCAUUGAUCAUAAAAUUCAGACAAAUUCAAUCUGAUAAACCGUUUUUUUACGGUUCAUACACCUAGGAAUGUUAUCUUAACCACUGCACAUAUUUUGGGGAAAUAGUAAAUACAUUUGUAGCAGCAACCUGGAUUGUUAGAGGACUCAUAGAUAUUCAUUUGUUGAACUAUUUUAAACUGUUUGACCUCGAGCAAAUCAGCCAGUGAUCUUUUUAACCAGUCGUUAGUUACUAAUAUAGACAUCAAGCGAGUUUAUUGUUGAAUCCUCAACUGCUUGUACAACAAUGCCAUCUCACAGUCAGCUACAUGUUUCAGCUUGAUAAACAGACAACUUGCUAUGCUUGUAACUGCAAGUCAUUUUUCUAGCCCUGCCUGAAUUCGACUGAGCCAAUAAGUGAAAGUUGCAGUAGGUCAAUUCACAACCAGCUAGCACUUAAAGGGACACUCCAGGCACCAGACUACUUCUGCCCAUUGGAGUGGUCUGGGUGCCAACUCCCACUACCCUUAACCCUGCAAGUGUAAUUAUUGCAGUUUCCAAUGACUGCAAUAUUUACCUUGCAGGGUUAAGUCCUCCUCUAGUGGCUGUCUACUAGAUAGCCACUAGAGGACACUUCCGUGUUCACGAAAAGUGUGUUAUAAUGUCGCUGGAUGUCCUCACGCUAUGUGUCCAGUGUCGCUGAAAUCCCCAUAGGAAAGCAUUGAAAGCAUUGCCGCACAUGCGCAUUAGGUCUCCCCUGCCGCCGGCCGUGCAUGCUCAAUAGGUCUCCCCCACCGGAUGACGUCGGUGGGGGAGGAGCAUGGGCGGACCCUGACCCAGCCCUGAGGCGCUGGAUACAGGUAAGUCACUGAAGGAGUUUUAACCCCUUCAGCAACAUGGGAUAGGGGGGUGGGAAGGAGAGGGGACUGGCAGUGCCAGGAAAACCCUGGCUUCAAAAUAUUUUUUAUUCAACAUCUGUGAACAUACGUUUUUGGAAGAGUGAACUCUCUGCAAUAUAUUUAUAAGCUACCUGUGCCUUCUAAAUAUAAAAUAUAUAUAGCAUAAGAUUUUUUGAAAUGGAAAAUAUUGAAAAGUUGAAUGCGUAUGUUUCCGUUUGUAAAUUAGCAUUUUCGGGUUUAUGAAAAAACACCAGGAAAAAGAUAGGUUUGUGGUCUAAUGUAAAAAACACCAGAUCAACCCAUACAGCUAGAUUGUAUAGUUUUUAUGGCACAUUCAUUAAGCAGUUGGGCUAUCAAGUGAUAUUUAUUUAAUGAGAGGUUCCCAAAUAUGUCAAGAACCGAAAUGCAAUGUAGCCUAUUGUAAAGGGACUCUAUAGCUGUAGGAAUACAAAUGUGUCCACCCUCCUUUUGCUAUAAAAAAACUGAAAGAAAGGUUUUCACUGAUGUUUACUCCAGUAUCAAGACUUCCUUGGCACUGACAUCCAUGCUUCCUUCCAUGACAUCAUUCGGCUCUCGCUCAUCGAUGAGCAUUGGAGACUGAUGUGCAUGUGCGGUGAGUGCUGUUCAAAGAAAUGCAUUGAAUUCAAUGCUUUCGUAUAGGCUGCACUGGUCACAUGACCGAGUUUUACACUUGUCCUUGUGGAAGCGCCUCUGGUGACUGUCUGGAAGGCAGUGUUUGACUACAUAAUGCAAACAGUGAGGGGUAUAAUUAUAGGAUAUGGGCA